rnacentral:lncRNA from 1 species
GCUGAUUGGAAUACAUUGCAAAGGCUCCUGAUUUAAUUUUACAUCACCUAGAAAAAUCUGAGGCCGUGUGUAUUAAUGGCAGCUUUGAGGAACACAAAGAUUGACAGGUUUUCCUGAGCUAAGCAGGAAGCUGGUAUUGGGUCAAUGAGAAACUUCCACCGCAAAAUUCGUGAGCACGACAAAGAUUCUUUGGUUUCAUCAGAGAAGAAAGGAGAUUGAGACAUCAUGAGAAUUACACAUCAC